AUCAAGAAAUGGACAGCUAUGGCGGUGGCGGGUACUUCGUCGACGAGAAAGCCGUUAGGGUCGAAAACAUCUUCUUGGAGUUCCUCAAGAGUUUUCGAGUGGAUGCGAACUCACGUGAGCCAUUUUACGAGUCGGAGAUCGAAGCCAUGAGACCUAAUGAGUCCAACACAAUGUUCAUUGAUUUCUCUCACGUUAUGCGCUUCAACGAUAUUCUUCAGAAGGCCAUUUCCGAUGAGUUUCUCAGGUUUGAAUCCUAUCUGAAAAAUGCUUGCAAGAGAUUUGUGAUGGAAUUGAAGCCAACUUUCAUCACUGAUGAUAAUCCUAACAAGGACAUCAACGUCGCAUUUUACAAUCUUCCGCUGAUUAAUAGAUUGAGAGAGUUGACUACCUCAGAGAUAGGGAAAUUGGUGUCGGUGACUGGAGUGGUAACUCGUACCAGUGAGGUCCGACCAGAGCUUCUACAGGGAACCUUCAAAUGCUUGGACUGUGGAACUGUGAUCAAGAAUGUUGAACAGCAAUUCAAAUACACCGAGCCUAUAAUUUGUAUGAAUGCGACAUGUCAAAACAAAGCAAGAUGGGCAUUACUCAGGCAAGAGAGCAAAUUUGCAGACUGGCAGAGGGUCCGAAUGCAGGAGACCUCCAAGGAGAUACCAGCAGGGUCCCUUCCAAGAUCACUUGAUGUCAUUCUACGCCAUGACAUUGUGGAACAAGCCAGAGCAGGUGACACGGUCAUAUUUACUGGUACCGCUGUGGUGAUACCUGACAUACUUGCACUUGCCUCUCCUGGGGAGAGAGCUGAAUGUCGCCGUGAUGCAUCUCAGCGAAAGAAUGGUACUGGUGCGCAAGAAGGUGUGAAGGGUCUUCGAGCCUUGGGCGUUAGGGAUCUCUCGUAUCGAUUAGCAUUUAUAGCUAACUCGGUUCAGAUAUGUGAUGGUCGAAGGGACAAUGACAUCAGAAAUAGAAGGAGAGAUGUUGAUGAAGAAGAGAGUCCCCAGUUCAUGACUGAAGAGCUAGAAGACAUCCAACGAAUGAGGAAAGUUCCGGAUUUUUUCAAUAAGCUUGUUGAGAGUGUUGCUCCAACUGUUUUUGGUCACUCAGAUAUCAAGAGGGCAAUACUGCUCAUGCUUUUGGGUGGUGUUCACAAGUUUACUCAUGAAGGCAUUAAUUUAAGAGGGGACAUCAAUGUUUGCAUUGUUGGAGAUCCUAGCUGUGCAAAAUCUCAGUUCCUCAAAUACACAGCAGGUCUGGUUCCUCGAUCUGUCUAUACAUCAGGGAAAUCCUCGUCUGCUGCUGGGUUGACAGCAACAGUGGCCAAAGAACCAGAAACUGGAGAAUUCUGUAUUGAGGCUGGUGCACUGAUG
rnacentral:misc_RNA from 1 species